rnacentral:lncRNA from 1 species
UUGUUGUUCUAAAUUAUUCGAUAUGAAGGCUAUUGUGUUUUAGUCGGAAUCAUUAUUCUCACGUAUAGUGCUUUUUAUCUUCCUUCUGGCUAGCUGAAAUUUGGCAAUUCUUCCCCAUCCCGUCUCCUUCUUUCCGCUAUUUUCGUCUCUCUUUCCCCUUAUGGUAGAUUGGCUGGUAUUCCAAAUAUUGUGGAGUUUCAGUUAAAUUAAAACUAUGUUAGUUUAGAGUUAAAUUUGUAGUUUCAUUGUGGAGGGUUUUUGCAUAUGAAUCAUAGUUCAAGGGUUGCUUGUAAUUUACCUAGAAAAGGAUGCUAGAAACGAGACGGUGGAUCAUCAAACUGGCAACCACUUGCAUUUAAAAGUGUCUUUGUGCGGUUAAAUCUUAACGUUUAACUGUCUUUGGGUGCUAUUCCUUCUAUACCAUGGUCCAAAAUAGCUAUGAAUACCCCCCCUAAAAGCGUUGGUUAUAUUGAUAUACGUGAUCUAUGUUGUUUCUAGUUACGAAUGAGUAACUAAGAGCUCUUAGGUCCUAUGUUGGUAUGAUUGAUGGACCAGAUUGAUCAUGACAAUUUUAUUGUGAUAGCAAUUUUGAGCUCAUAAGGUUAUAAUGUAACAUANN